rnacentral:tRNA from 1 species
GCCUGGGUGGCUCAGUUGGUUAAGUGUUCAAAUCUUGAUUUUGACUCGUGAUCUCACUGUUUGUGGGUUCGAGCCCCACACCGGGCU